CUUGACCCUAGAGAUUUUGCAGGUGUGACUACUGUGUCAUGUGUGUCUCAGUGGGUGGCAGAGAGGACAGAAGCUAUAUCUAUGCUCAAUGUUCUGAUCUGUGAUCACUUGAAUGAAUAGUACUCUAACAUC
ensembl:snoRNA LOC120095752 small nucleolar RNA SNORA17